UGGGGAAUAUUGGGCAAUGGGCGAAAGCCUGACCCAGCAACGCCGCGUGAGGGAAGAAGGUUUUCGGAUUGUAAACCUCUGUCCUAAGUGACGAAGGAAGUGACGGUAGCUUAGGAGGAAGCCCCGGCUAACUACGUGCCAGCAGCCGCGGUAAUACGUAGGGGGCGAGCGUUGUCCGGAAUGAUUGGGCGUAAAGGGCGUGUAGGCGGCUUGGUAAGUCUGGAGUGAAAGUCCUGCUUUCAAGGUGGGAAUUGCUUUGGAUACUGUCGAGCUUGAGUGCAGGAGAGGUUAUCGGAAUUCCCGGUGUAGCGGUGAAAUGCGUAGAGAUCGGGAGGAACACCAGUGGCGAAGGCGGGUAACUGGACUGCAACUGACGCUGAGGCGCGAAAGUGUGGGGAGCAAACAGGAUUAGAUACCCUGGUAGU
rnacentral:rRNA from 1 species